rnacentral:rRNA from 1 species
UAACGAGAGUUUGAUCCUGGCUCAGAACGAACGCUGGCGGCGCGCUUAACACAUGCAAGUCGAACGAGAAGGCGUAGCAAUACGCUUGUACAGUGGCGAACGGGUGAGUAAUACGUGGGUGACCUACCCUCGAGUGGGGAAUAACCCGCCGAAAGGCGGGCUAAUGCCGCGUACGCUUCCAUCUUUAUGGAGGUGGAAGGAAAGCCGUGCCGUGGGCACGGCGCUCAAGGAUGGGCUCACGUCCUAUCAGCUUGUUGGUAGGGUAACGGCCUACCAAGGCUCCGACGGGUAGCUGGUCUGAGAGGACGAUCAGCCACACUGGCACUGCGACACGGGCCAGACUCCUACGGGAGGCAGCAGUGAGGAAUAUUGCGCAAUGGGCGAAAGCCUGACGCAGCGACGCCGC